UUUAGUGUAAUAUUUGGUGUUGUGGUUGGAGAGCUAAAAAAUUUUAGUGUUAAAACUAUACUAAAAUAGUGUAAUCUUGACACUAAAAUAGUGUUAUGGGUUGGAGAUGCCCUAAAUCCUUUUAUCAUUUCUCUCUCUUGUUUCAAUUUUGAAAUCUCCUAAAUCCAUGAAUCCUAAUUUCUCUUGCUUCCAUUCAUUCCCAAAUUCGUGAACGCUAAUUACAUCUCCUUACCCUUUUGCGUCUCGGUCCUUUUUUUUUUGUGAACCACUUUAGAUCCAACUAUUGUGUGAGUUGCGUUUUCUGGUUUUGGAUUUAAUGGAAAAGAUGAGCAGCCGUUCAAGUCGAACGAUUCACGUUUCGAACCUUCCUUGCAAUAUCCACGAGAGGGAAGUAGAAGAUUUGUUAGUAUGGACCUGUUCUUCAAAAUCGAUUUGAAGAUCCCACGAUGUUGCCGUCAGCCACGACCACUCUCAAGAGCCAUCUCUGUCUUUCUCAUGUCUUCUGAGUCUAGGCGUUUAUGAGUUUUAUGGGAAAUUGAAGCUUAGAUUGUGGAAGUGAUGAUCAAGAGCUCAAGUAGGGAAUGGAGAAACAGUUUGUGGACCUUCUAACCGAGGAGCUGAAGCUGCUAGACGCAGUUGCAGAUUACCAUAGCCGUCACAUGGAUGUUACCAUUGCAGAAGCUAAAAGAGUUGCAUCUCAGUACCAAGAGGAAGCUUUGAAUUUUUGUAUGAGUUGUCCACGAAACUCUGUCCACAAAAUUUUGUAUAUAAAUUUUGUAGGAUUGAGAUUUUUUGUUCACCAUACCUCAUCCACAACAUUUUGUAUGAUUCAGAAUUUUGUCAAUAAAACUUUUUUUUGUUCGAA